rnacentral:rRNA from 1 species
CCUACGGGAGGCAGCAGUAGGGAAUCUUCGGCAAUGGACGAAAGUCUGACCGAGCAACGCCGCGUGAGUGAAGAAGGUUUUCGGAUCGUAAAACUCUGUUGGUAGAGAAGAACGUUGGUGAGAGUGGAAAGCUCAUCAAGUGACGGUAACUACCCAGAAAGGGACGGCUAACUACGUGCCAGCAGCCGCGGUAAUACGUAGGUCCCGAGCGUUGUCCGGAUUUAUUGGGCGUAAAGCGAGCGCAGGUGGUUUAUUAAGUCUGGUGUAAAAGGCAGUGGCUCAACCAUUGUAUGCAUUGGAAACUGGUAGACUUGAGUGCAGGAGAGGAGAGUGGAAUUCCAUGUGUAGCGGUGAAAUGCGUAGAUAUAUGGAGGAACACCGGUGGCGAAAGCGGCUCUCUGGCCUGUAACUGACACUGAGGCUCGAAAGCGUGGGGAGC